rnacentral:misc_RNA from 1 species
UCUCCGUAGGUGAACCUGCGGAGGGAUCAUUACAGAGUUCAUGCCCUACCGGGUAGAUCUCCCACCCUAUGUUAUUAUUACUUUGUUGCUUUGGCGGGCCGUUAGGCUCCGGCCCGACUACCGGCCCCGGCUGGUAAGCGCCCGCCAGAGGACCCAAAACCCUGAAUAUUAGUGUCGUCUGAGUACUAUAUAAUAGUUAAAACCUUCAACAACGGAUCUCUUGGUUCUG